GCGGAAGUGGUGAAAUUGGUAUACACGCUAUCUUGAGGGGGUAGUGCUCGAAAGGGCGUACGGGUUCAAGUCCCGUCUUCCGCA
rnacentral:tRNA from 1 species